AAAUUAGUCGCCUGUUAACUACGUAAGUAUUUGAAAUUGCUUGUCAUACCCCAUACUUCUAAGCAUGUGGUCGCAGGUUCGAAUCCUGCAGGGGUCGCCA
rnacentral:tRNA from 3 species